AGACUUUAACUAAAGGUAAGUACUGUUGUACUUACGGGACAUCAUCUUAAGCCUGGUUCACACAAGCAACAAAAAACAAAUGCAAACCCAGACAACAUACGUAGAUUCAGUAGUGUUCUGCCCAUUGCCAGUACUUGUUUUUCUCUCACCUCAGUGAAAACUGCAGUACUGAGGCUGCGUAUGUUGCGUUUGUUGAGUCUGCGUAUGUUGCGUUUGCGUUGCUCAUAUGAUCCAGGCUCAAAGGGAAAACUGGGAAAGCCAUAAUUACGCCAUACCCUUAUGCAAAAAAGUACUAUUUGGUUUCAUCAUCAUCUCUUAUGCCUGGGUGGCAUUAGUAUUUGGUUUGACAAGCAAUAAAUGACAGGCCAACCCAUCUCAAUGGGAUGGUUUUUAUGAGCUAAAAAUUAAAAGCUUAGUUAUAGCAUCUGCGAGGGAAAAGCAUGCUAGGAGCUCUCAUGCUUUGCCUGGAAGGUGCUUAGGAUAGUUACGCAUCUGUGAGGGGAAAUAGCCAUGGUAAUUCCAUGCCUACCACCCGGAAGGUGCUUAGUUAUGGCAUCUGCGAGGGAAGGGCAUAUAUGUCUGACCCGGAAGGUGCUUAGGAUUAAUUUUGAAAUGAAUUAAAAUCUGUUUUGAACAUCAGUGCGUUGGGGAUUAUGUGUAAUUGGGGUUGAUAUUAGCGCCUCUUACACAUAAACCCAAUCAAAUGAAUAUGAUGCUCUGUUUUUCCUUCUUUUCCAUUUCAGAUUGACCCCAGCAAGCAAGUAUUUUUGGCAAGAAGAAUAGAUAYAUGUAAAUAAGUAAAUAAUAAUAUGCAAAUAUUUAAAUGUGCAAAUGGCAUAUGAAAGAUAUGAAACUAUGAUCAAAAAUGGAGUGMAGACAAUAUAUCCAUGAAACAGAUCUAUAUAGUUAGCACUAAAUAGCACUAUAAAAACACUAGAGUGCAUUCAGUAAACCCGUGAAAUACGCGUAGUUAUUUAGCCGUACAUGCCUGUAACUAAUGCUACUUACGGUUACGCGUAUAUUUCACGRGUUUACUGACUGCACUCUGGAAAACACUGAAUAGUGUUUGCACUAUCCUUUCACUUCGAUUAAAACUUACUUUUUGCCGGCAUAAAAUCAAUUGGGGUAGAUGUUGACUCUCCCUCUUCCCCUGGACCAGUGUUGUUGGUAUAGAAGUUUAUGCGUUUGUUCGUUACCUUUAUUGAAAUUUGUAAGAUAGAUUUUGUAAGUUCCCUGUUUGGAUAAUAUUCUGGUUUGACGUCUUUUGUAAAAUAUAUCAUUUUCUGUGUGUGAGUAUUUGUAUAUAUACAUUGUUAACACAUACUGCUACCAAUAAAAGACGUUAUUUCUUAUUG